rnacentral:rRNA from 1 species
CAAGAGCGUAUGUAAAAGUUGUUGCAGUUAAAAAGCUCGUAGUUGAACCUUGGGUUUGGUUGGCCGGUCCGCUUUUUUGCGAGUACUGGAUUCAACCGAGCCUUUCCUUCUGGCUAACCAGUCGUUUCGGCGGCUGGCGAACCAGGAUUUUUACUUUGAGAAAAUUAGAGUGUUCAAGGCAGGCAUUAGCUUGAAUAUAUUAGCAUGGAAUAAUAGAAUAGGACGUUAUGGUUCUAUUUUGUUGGUUUCUAGGACCAUCGUAAUGAUUAAUAGGGACGGUCGGGGGCAUCAGUAUUCAGUUGUCAGAGGUGAAAUUCUUGGAUUUACUGAAGACUAACUACUGCGAAAGCAUUUGCCAAGGACGUUUUCAUUAA